rnacentral:lncRNA from 1 species
GUAAUCCCCGUCCGGACUCCUACAGGAGCCGGACUUCGCCUUUAACUCUAAUUGCAGGGAGACUUCGCCCGUACUCUUAUGGGAGCCGGGCUUCAUCCUCGACGCCAACAACUGCAGCCGCCAGCAGACUCCGCCCGGACUCCUGCGGGAGCCGGGCUUCGUCCUCGGCUCCAACGACUGCAGACAGAUUUAGUCCGGGCUCCUAUGGGGGCCAGACUCCGACCACUGCCGAACUUCAUCCGAUGUGUCUGCACCCUCUGGCAGGCCACCAUAACGGCCACGACCCUGCUCCACUUCCUGUGGUGGAUUCCACGCAGCUCCAUCAUUCCCUGGCAGGCCGCAGUAACCAUCGCCGCUCUGCUCCACGUCCUGUGGCAGAUUCCGCACAGCUCCACUACCCCCUAGCAGGCCACAAUAACGGCCACGAACCUGCUCCACCUCCUGCGACGGAUACCAGGCGAUUCUCCCACCCGCUGGCAAGUCACGACAACGGACACUGCUCCACUCCCCGCCACUGAUUCCACGUGGCGAGCUACGGAGAUAGCCACGAUUCAGCUCCACUACCCCUCGCAAUAAAUUCUCCCUGACUACAGGCGGCCCACGACCAGACGGUUACAGACGUCGCCAUCAAUCCGUUAUCUCCUCCGCCUAUAAAAGGGGGACCCAGAUACGUUAUUCUCUAGGCUCAUUUCUUAUCUCAAAACUUUGCUAAAUUCUCCGUUCGAGCACUCCAUUCUUGUUGAGGCAGAGAACUGACUUGAGCGUCGGAGGGUCUUGCCGGAGCAACCCCACCUCCGGUUUAGACUUCCUUUGCAGGUCCCGACGGAGACCGCGGCUUCCUCGACUCCAGCUUCUCCGGCGCAAGCAGAUUUUUGCACCAACAGGAUUGGCGCU